GAUGAACGCUGGCGGCGUGCCUAAUACAUGCAAGUCGAGCGAACACUUCGGUGUUAGCGGCGAACGGGUGAGUAACACGUAAGUAACCUACCUAUAAGACGGGGAUAACUAUUGGAAACGAUAGCUAAUACCGGAUAGGAUAUUUAUAUUUAAAGAUGCUUUCAAGCAUCGCUUAUAGAGGGGCUUGCGGCGCAUUAGCUAGUUGGUAGUGUAAUGGACUACCAAGGCGACGAUGCGUAGCCGACCUGAGAGGGUGAACGGCCACACUGGGACUGAGACACGGCCCAGACUCCUACGGGAGGCAGCAGUAGGGAAUCUUCCACAAUGGACGAAAGUCUGAUGGAGCAACGCCGCGUGAGUGAAGAAGGUCUUCGGAUUGUAAAGCUCUGUUAUUAGGGAAGAAAGACUAUAGUAGGAAAUGGCUAUAGAGUGACGGUACCUAAUGAGAAAGCCACGGCUAACUACGUGCCAGCAGCCGCCGUAAAAC
rnacentral:rRNA from 1 species